CAGGGACGCGGUGCGGCCGGUUCUCGGGGCGGCGCGGAGCCCGUGGCGGGGGCAGUUCCCUUGGCCGCGUCCGGCCCGCAGAGCACAGUUUGCCCACCCCUGUUCUAGGUGCCAGUGUAGCUGGAAACUCCUGUACUGAGGAAGGAAUCUCUGGAAUUGUGAUGUUGAGGAUCCACAUGGUGGCUGGGAGAGCAGUGAGUGAGUGGAUGGGCAGCUGUUCCAGCAGAAGUGCCAGUGGAAUAUGCACUUUGUCCCCAUCUGGCACUGUAGAUGUUACUUGAAAAAGAACUCUGAAGGAGAGGCAGACAUGAUGCUUUCAGUCUCCUGGGAGAAGAUACCUUGCUGUCUUUGCCCUCUUCACCGGUUGGGAAGGAAACCAAAUAAGGGCACAGUCCAGCUCCCA